rnacentral:rRNA from 1 species
GACGAACGCUGGCGGCGUGCUUAACACAUGCAAGUCGAACGGUAAGGCCCUUCGGGGUACACGAGUGGCGAACGGGUGAGUAACACGUGGGUGAUCUGCCCUGCACUUCGGGAUAAGCCUGGGAAACUGGGUCUAAUACCGGAUAGGACCACUGCCUGCAUGGGUGGUGGUGGAAAGCUUUUGCGGUGUGGGAUGGGCCCGCGGCCUAUCAGCUUGUUGGUGGGGUGAUGGCCUACCAAGGCGACGACGGGUAGCCGGCCUGAGAGGGUGACCGGCCAGAGUGGGACUGCGAUACGGCCCAGACUCCUGCGGGAGGCAGCAGUGGGGAAUAUUGCACAAUGGGCGCAAGCCUGAUGGAGCGACGCCGCGUGAGGGAUGACGGCCAUCGGGUUGUAAAACUCUUUCAGCACCGACGAAGCGCAAGUGACGGUAGGUGCAGAAGAAGGACCGGCCAACUACGUGCCAGCAGCCGCCGCGG